GUGGACCUCGCAUCCCCAGAGGGUGGCUGGAAGCUGCUAGGAAGGGGCCCGGGCCGUGGCCAGCUCCCUCGGCGCCUCGGUCUGGCCACAGAGCAGACGCCCAGCCCACAUUUCAAAAUUUCUCUGUGAUGGAGAGCAGAGGCCCCUCCUCCCCACCACUUUCCAUGGCCACCACAAAGCCAGGAGUCAGAAAACCACGAGAGUCUGAAGCAGAGUAAUGGGACCUUGGGGCCAGUCCCCAUGCAGGAAGGGGAGCCACCCCAGCCCAAGCUGGCACUGGGAGGACAGAGGAGCAGCAUGGGACAGAAGCCCCGCUGUGGCCAGGGAACCAAGGAUAGAAAAGGACAACCGAGACUGCUGCUCCAGCUCCCACUUCUCCUCAAGCCCCCUGAGGGUGGAGGGCGCCCUUGAGAGAAGCUCAAAUGAUACCUGGAGUCUGAAGUCCAAGUUUCUAAGCUACCCUCUGACAAACGAGGCCUGAGAGACUGGGAGGUGUGGCCAAGGCUCAGGUCUAGUAUUGCCUCUCCGACCCCCAUUCCCAGGCAUUCAUAUGGAUGGUGUCUGGAGGUCAGGGGAAAGCUGGGGGUCCCAAGGGGCAGGAGAGUCACCCUAGGUCCAGCCAGACCCCUGGCGAGCUUCUAUCCACUCAAAAAGGAACCACAGCCACUUUUCAAGAAGUUACCCGUCUCAACAGAAAAGGACCACCAGCCACCUCCAAGGGGACCACGGAAGGCAGUGUGCUGGCCCAGCCCAGUGCCAAGUCCAGCCCUUCAGCUGUGAAUGCUCCCAGCCCCCAGGCAGGUGGAGGUCUCUCUCUCUCUCCCAGAGACCACCGACUGCUCCCCUCCAGCCCCAUCUCUGCCCACGUGUGCCCCUGCUGUACACGCCCAGCACAGGGACCCUCCCUACCCUGACCCUGGCUGUGAGAGCCACCAAAGUCCAGAGCCUCCCUCCUGGGGCAGCCUCACCACAGGGCUGGCUCCAGGACCCCUGCCCCCAGCAUCUCCAUGGCCGCAAGUUCUGAGGGAAGUUUCGCCACAUUCCCACCUGAGCCACGCUUUGUUGCAGGUCAGUCACGCCUUCCCCCCAGACCCCGCGGCCCCCACCGCAGCACCUCGACCCUCGUGCACCCCGGCAGUGACUGCAGGCACCGCUUCCUUGCAAAACGCCCGCAUGUCAAAGUUCUCGCAUCGCGGUUGGACGCGCCCUCCCGGCCCUGCUGUCUGCUGGCUCUGCAGUUUUCCAAAUGCGGACGAUGCCACGAGCCAAGAGAAAACUCCGAAGCACCCCCGGCUGGAGCCACGCGGCGCCGGCACCAUGGCUCCCCCUCGCCGCGGGCACACCCCCGCCGUGGCCGC